rnacentral:rRNA from 1 species
GUGUCUGGUGGGUAGUUUGACUGGGGCGGUCUCCUCCCAAAGAGUAACGGAGGAGCACGAAGGUUGGCUAAUCCUGGUCGGACAUCAGGAGGUUAGUGCAAUGGCAUAAGCCAGCUUGACUGCGAGCGUGACGGCGCGAGCAGGUGCGAAAGCAGGUCAUAGUGAUCCGGUGGUUCUGAAUGGAAGGGCCAUCGCUCAACGGAUAAAAGGUACUCCGGGGAUAACAGGCUGAUACCGCCCAAGAGUUCAUAUCGACGGCGGUGUUUGGCACCUCGAUGUCGGCUCAUCACAUCCUGGGGCUGAAGUAGGUCCCAAGGGUAUGGCUGUUCGCCAUUUAAAGUGGUACGCGAGCUGGGUUUAGAACGUCGUGAGACAGUUCGGUCCCUAUCUGCCGUGGGCGCUGGAGAAUUGAGGGGGGCUGCUCCUAGUACGAGAGGACCGGAGUGGACGCAUCACUGGUGUUCGGGUUGUCAUGCCAAUGGCACUGCCCGGUAGCUAAAUGCGGAAGAGAUAAGUGCUGAAAGCAUCUAAGCACGAAACUUGCCCCGAGAUGAGUUCUCCCUGAGACUUUAAGUCUCCUGAAGGAACGUUGAAGACGACGACGUUGAUAGGUCGGGUGUGUAAGCGCAGCGAUGCGUUGAGCUAACCGAUACUAAUGAACCGUGAGGCUUAACCUU